rnacentral:snRNA from 1 species
AGCGGUUGGGAUUCUUACAUACCGAACUUCCCUCUCGCCUUUUACUAGAGGAAACCGUGCGAGGAUCCCAAUAUGACCGCAUUACAAAUUUUUCAAAUCUCAGUUCCACUGAGCU